rnacentral:rRNA from 1 species
AGCAGCAGCCACGGUAAUACGUAGGGUGCGAGCGUUAAUCGGAAUUACUGGGCGUAAAGCGUGCGCAGGCGGUCGUGUAAGACAGGUGUGAAAUCCCCGGGCUUAACCUGGGAACUGCGCUUGUGACUGCACAGCUAGAGUAUGGCAGAGGGGGGUGGAAUUCCACGUGUAGCAGUGAAAUGCGUAGAGAUGUGGAGGAACACCGAUGGCGAAGGCAGCCCCCUGGGCCAAUACUGACGCUCAUGCACGAAAGCGUGGGGAGCAAACAGGAUUAGAUACCCCUGUAGUCCCUGUCUCUUAUAC